rnacentral:rRNA from 1 species
UACAGAGGUCUCAACCGUUGUUCGGAUUCAUUGGGCGUAAAGGGUGCGUAGGCGGUCGCGUAAGUCAGGUGUGAAAUCCCGGGGCUCAACCCCGGAACUGCACUUGAUACUGCGUGGCUAGGGUACUGGAGAGGAGACUGGAAUUUACGGUGUAGCAGUGAAAUGCGUAGAUAUCGUAAGGAAGACCAGUGGCGAAGACGAGUCUCUGGACAGUUACCGACGCUGAGGCACGAAGGCCAGGGGAGCAAACGGG